CUAAACUCUAAUAUUAAUAAGGGACAAAUGCUUAUAUACUCCUGAAAAGUUACCGACUUUCCAAGUGACCCCUCUUAGAAGGCUAAUAUUAAAAAUACGCUUUCUACGUUUCAACCUAUUUCUAAUAUACCCCUAGAGUUAAAAUCUGUUAAUUAACUCCGUUGUCCCUGUAAAAUUACUGUUUUGCCCUUUCGAAUAUACUCUUCUACUAUCACUAUCUUUCUUAUUUACCCUUAAAGUCCUCAUCAUCCACAAACGCUUUGAAGAGACUCUAAAAUUGGGAACAUCUUUUCCUAUCCCAAAAUAUUUGAUACAUACAUAGGUUCUCAUGCACUAACCUUCGAUAUUGAAUAAAUAAUGUUACAAAAAUCAUGGAAUUGCGGGUUAUCUGGAUAAAUUCAUAAUAAAAAUCCAAAAUUUCAUCGAUUUAUUCUUAUGGUUAAUAAAAAACUAUUUCUCCACAAAUGUUUAGGGAAAUAACAAUUUUCCAAUUUUAUAUUCUGCUAUUUUCCCAUAUUAUUUAAUUCCUUAUUAUCUUUUCAUUAAUAAAAUAUGUCAUAAUUGCAAAGCAAUCGGUAAGAUAUGUAACAAUACAUUCCGGUACCUAUUUCUCCACAAAGUUUUAGGAAAAUAACAUUUCUCCAAUUAUAUAUUCUACUAUUUGUCCGUAUUAGUUCAUUCCUUUCUAUAUUUUCAUUAAUAAAUUGUAAAGUUCACAUGUAAGGCUUAAAUUUUCGCAAUCAACACAUCAUACAACCGGUAGUAUAAAAUGUAUCAUAAUUACAAACAAUCAGCAAGAUAUAUGACAAUACAUUCUGGUAUUCCCACUGCAGCGAUAAUGAACAAUCUCCUGUUACAUGAUAAAUACUUUUAUACACUUUCAAUAUAUUAAUCCAAAUGCAGGUGAAAAAUUAUAUUAACAUAAGUUGGGUGGCAAAUUGCAUUACUCGAGUUUAUUUACAUAUGAUAGACGAUAAAUUGUGUAAUUAUAACAUUAUUGAGUAAACUUUCCAAUUUUCCAUUUUUUCCAAACAUCAUCAUAGGGUAUACAAAGACGGCGAAGAUAUAUACUUUUGUUUCUCUAUAUAAUAGCCACUAAUAUUAAUAACGCCUUUUCUCCAUCAUACACAGCCUCUUUGUAGAUAAUCUUAAAUCAAUAACAGCUUGUCCUAUCUAAAAAAAUUUCAUACAUGCAUAGGUUCUUAUGUUUAACCUUCAAUGUUAUACCAAUAUAAUGGAAUAUUUAGUUAUUUGGCUAAAUUCAUAAUAAGGAAUCAAAAUUACGGUGAGUUAUACUGAUAGAGACCAAAAAUCAAUUUCUCCACAAAUGUUUUCGGAAAUAACCUUUUCCCAUGUUUAUAUUCCUUUCAUAUCCUUUAAAUAUGUUAACCCAAAUGCAUAGCAAAUUUUACUAUAUUUCGAAAAUUAGCGCAGAAUCUAAUUCGAAUUCAAACACAAAAGUUAGAUACAGCAGUUAACUCAUAUAAGUUCAUUCUUCCCCUAUAGUAAAAUUUGCUAUGCAUUUGGGUUAACAUAUUUAAAGGAUAUGAAAGGAAUUCAAACACAAAAGUUAGAUACAGCAGUUAACUCAUAUAAGUUCAUUCUUCCCCUAUAGUAAAAACUAUUAUUAAUCUAAAUUCUAAAAAAUAUUCAAUAGAAGUGACCCUAAUAUUAAUAACAACUUUUCUCCAUUACACACAAACUCUUUGAAACAACUCUAAUAAUAAUAACAUCAUUCUCCCCUCAUAUACAAACUCUUUGCCAAGAAAUACUCUUCUGCAUAACUCCUUACUCUCAACAGUUCAGCUUAACUGUUUGAAAAUCCGUAGUAAGAUAACAAAAUUAUAGUUAUACACAAACACUUUGCCAACAAAAAACAUAAUAAAAAAAUAAAAUCCUUCUAUAUACAUAAAAGUUUAUAAUUUAAUAAAAUUAUACUCCAACAAAACUCUAUAUAAAAUACUAAAUUACGAUAACAUGCAUUAAAUAUUUCGAAAUUGUAUAUUUUAAAUUUCUGGAACAUAAAUUUCCCGCGGCGAAGCGCGGGCCUCCACUAGUAUUUAUGAAAAUCCUAACAAAGACUACAUAGUAAAUAAAAAAACAUGGCUUCAAAUUUUAUAAAUCUCAGGUUGUUGUUUUCAAGUUAGGAAACAACCCACAGAAGUUUUAUUAAGAGUUUUUUUUUUUUUUUUUUUUUUGGUUAGAUUUGUCUUGCUAUCAUUGAAAAAGUAUUCUAUGCAGGCUAGAAAACUCCCUGGAAAUUGCUACUUCCGUAUUAUAUUGAAUACUGCUUGCGAUCUCUGUUCUUAUGGUUCCGUUCUUUCCUUCUUUUUCUCUUUCUUUUUCAUGCUCACUAAACUUCAGUAAUUGAGACAUUCCCAGCUAUAAACCAUUCAUCGAAUAUGUCUAUCGCUACAGUGGAUUGGCAAUAUCAUGUUAGAUUGAUUUUAUAUUAAUGCAAUUCUUAUAUUUCUUUUGUAGAUUUUCUGCAGAUCAUGCAUUUGAGAAACCCAACGAUGAGAAUGCCCUGAACCUGAUGAAUGCGUGUGCAGUCUCUAUGCUUGAGCAGUUCCCAGAUAUUGUAUUUGCUUACGGUGUGAGCGAUGAAUAUAGGUAUUGUGUUUUUCACUUUUCCGUUAACUUCUUUGGUUAGAUGAAGAAGAACCAGCCUUUAUCAUAGUUGAGGCAUUAUAUGCCUCCACUGAAACAGUGGCUGUGUAUAUAUCCACUGUUGGAGCUAAGAUGACCUGAAAAUGGUUUUACUUUAAUAUCAUAACAAUGAUUUAAUUUAUGUACAAUUUCUGCUUUACUAUGUGAUGGUUAUUGAUUUUGUGGUUUCCCCUUUUCGGCAGUUUUGUACUGAAGGAGGCAAGUCAAUUUUACCAGAGACGGGCAAGGUUAUCUCAUAAUGAAUAUUUCCAUAUAAAAGCCAUUAUCUAUUUCCAUUACAUGUGAUGAAUUCCUGUAGGAANUUUUUUUUUGAUGCAGAUUAACACCCCAGUGUAAAAAUAUAAGAGAAAUGCUACUAGGAGUAAAUCUUAUAUUUUUAACCCAUUCAAAAGUUUAGAUUUUUUUGGGGGAUUUUGAGUAUUAAAAAAAAAAAAAUGUGAUAAGAUUAGUGUGGAAAAAUAGUCUUUUUUAUUUGAUUGAGAGAUGUGAAAAUUUCAAAUACCGGAUCCUAUAUUAUUUCUUUCAAUCCCAAUUAACUCAAAUAUAAAUUAAUUUAAAAUAAUUAUUUUUCUCUAAAAAUUUAAGCGGCUAUAAGCUAGCAAAGUGUCAUGUGACUAUUCGGACAAUUCCAAAUUUUGCAUUUUGCAUGUAGCUUAAAGCGAACUUUCCAUUAAUGAUUGUUUAUAGUCAGGUUCAAAAAAAUCUAUGACAUUUGGAUAUAAUCAUAUAAGUAUGAAUUGCUUAUUUUAAAAAUAGAUAUAAAUUUAUGCAUAAAUAAAAAUUAGACCAAUUUUACAUUUGUAUGAAAAUUAAAUCUUUUUGGAAAUAAAAAUAUUGCACUUUGAUAGUUAAAGCGGAAUAGUGAGAGCAAGAAUAAUUAUAGUUUUAAAGAAAUAAUAUUUAUCUAUAAAAUAGUAAUUAAAAAUAUUUACUAAAGUAAUAAAUUUAUUAGGUAUGAAUAUUGUAAUAAAUUAAUAAAUAUAAAUAUUAAUUAUUAAUUAAUUAAUACAUUAAUUAAUUAUAAAAAAUAAUUUAUCUUCUUAAUUAGUUAGUAAAUUAUUUUAAUAAGAUAAUUACUUAAGAAGUUAUCUAAUUAAUUAAUAUAAAAUAUUAAUUAAAUAAAAAUUAACUUAUUUAAUUAAUUAAUUAAUCAUAAAUACUGCAAGAUAAACCUAAAUAUUAAUUAAUAAAUAUUAAUUAAUAAUUUAUUUAACCAUAAUAAUUUCAUAAAUAAAUAAAUUAGUAGUUAGAUAAUUAGUUAAUAAAUAAUUAGAUUGGUCAAAUAUUAGAUUAAUUAAAGACCUAAUACAAUAAUUAAAAUUAUAUUUACUUUAAUUAAGCUCGAAAACGGUUGGAACAACGGUUCUAGUCUUAUACGAGCUUAUACCAGUUUAUUCUUCAAAAUUGAGAACUGUUGUUAUC
rnacentral:lncRNA from 1 species